GUCAGGAUGGCCGAGCGGUCUAAGGCGCUGCGUUCAGGUCGCAGUCCAUCUGUGGGCGUGGGUUCGAAUCCACUUCUGACA
rnacentral:tRNA from 1 species